UUCGAUCGAUGUUCUCGACUCAAAUUCUCGAUUUGACGUCACUCUCACUCAAUGUGUUUCUGUAAAAUAAUUACUCGCUUUAAUCGAUAGUCAGCUGAUAUGUUCCAUUCCAUUUCAGUAGGAAUGCUCGAUUGAAUGUGUUUCUGUAACCAAAUUGAAUGAAAUACUGUCGAUUGGUUUUUUCACUUCCAUUUGAGGUGAUGACAAAAAAAUUUUUCGUUAAAUUCAAAAUGGAAUUAGUUGAAUUUAAAGCAAAUGUAAGUAUAUUUUUGUUAAUAUAUUAUAUAUGAGAGAAGUACGUCGGGGUGUGUUACGAAUGGCCAAAAGAGGCGGUUACUGCACUUUAUGUAGCAGCACCGCAGCGUUGGAAGGGGCCAAUUUAAGAAACCAAAUGCGAGGAAGGAGCACGAAGAGGUUUGGGCUGCCGUUGCUGCUGAAUUAAAUGCAUUGGGAAGGUCCCACAAGUCCCCUAAUCAGUGGAAAAAGUGUUGGAUAGACUGGAAAUCGGCAGUCAAGAAGCAGCACAAUGCCCACAGAGCGUUCGCCAGACGAACUGGAAACCUGCCGUUGCAGGACGGUCCAAAACCGUUGGAUGCCAUGGACUGGGAAAUUCUGGAGUUUUUUUCCAGCGACAUGGUGGACGGUGAUGGGCUCACUCCCGAAAUUGGUUUGUCGACAACUGCUGAAAUGGUCGAUAUUCCCAUUGAGGAUGAGGGUGAUGCUACUACCAACAUUGGAUUGG